GAUGAACGCUGGCGGCGUGCUUAACACAUGCAAGUCGAACGGAAAGGCUCCUGCUUGCUGGUGUCCUCGAGUGGCGAACGGGUGAGUAACACGUGGGUGAUCUGCCCUGCACUUCGGGAUAAGCCUGGGAAACUGGGUCUAAUACCGGAUAGGAUGAUGAUUUGGAUGCCAUUGUGGAAAGUUUUUGCGGUGUGGGAUGAGCUCGCGGCGUAUCAGCUUGUUUGUGGGGUAAUGGCCUACCAAGGCGACGACGGGUAGCCGGCCUGGGAGGGUGUACGGCCACGUUGGGACUGAAAUACGGCCCAGACUCCUACGGGAGGCAGCGGUGGGGAAUAGUACACAAUGGGCGCAAGCCUAAUGCAGCGACGCCGCGUGGGGGAUAACGGCCAUCGGGUUGUAAACUCCUUUCGCUAGAGACGAAGCGCAAGUGACGGUACCUGGAGAAGAAGCACCGGCUAACUACGUG
rnacentral:rRNA from 1 species